rnacentral:Y_RNA from 1 species
CAUUGGUCCAGAGUGCAGUGGUGUUUACAACUAAUUGAUCACAACCAGUUAUAGAUUCUUUUGUUCCUUCUCUGCUUCCACUGCUUCACUUGACCAGCCUCAA